rnacentral:rRNA from 1 species
UACGAGAGCCUCGAGCGUUAUCCGGAAUUAUUGGGCGUAAAGGGUGCGUAGGUUGUUCUGUUAGUCUUUUGUUAAAUCCCGGGGCUUAACUUCGGAAUCGCAAAAGAAACGGCAGGACUUGAAAGUGUGAGAGGCGUACGGAACUCAUGGUGUAGGGGUGAAAUCCGUUGAUAUCAUGGGGAACACCAAAUGCGAAGGCAGUACGCUGGCGCAUAUUUGACACUGAAGCACGAAAGCGUGGGUAGCGAAUGGG